AACGAACGCUGGCGGCAGGCCUAAUACAUGCAAGUCGAACGCCGUAGCAAUACGGAGUGGCAGACGGGUGAGUAACGCGUGGGAACCUUCCUAAUGGUACGGAAUAGCCCGGGGAAACCGGAGUAAUACCGUAUAAGCCCGUAAGGGAAGAUUUAUCGCCAUUAGAUGGGCCCGCGUCGGAUUAGCUAGUUGGUAGGGUAACGGCCUACCAAGGCUACGAUCCGUAGCUGGUCUGAGAGGAUGAUCAGCCACACUGGGACUGAGACACGGCCCAGACUCCUACGGGAGGCAGCAGUAGGGAAUAUUGGACAAUGGGCGAAANCCUGAUCCAGCCAUGCCGCGUGAGUGAUGAA
rnacentral:rRNA from 1 species